CAACAAAGACCCAGCACAGCCAGAUAUUAAAUAAAUAAUUUUUACAAAUCAACUAGAGGGCUUUUUAAAAUCCCAGUGCCCAAGCCACACCCCAGACCAGUCAGAGUUGAGUCUCUACAGGUGCCCAGGAAUCAUUAAGUUUUUUAAACUGACUGCAUGAUUCCCAUGCACAGCCACGUUUGAGAGCUAGCAUUCUAAGCAUUCCGCACAGGAACUCGUUCAAUCCACAAACAACCUUCUGAGGCAGCUCCUGCUUCAGAGAGAAGCCAACAGAUGAUGGAGCCCAGUAUCGGAAGAGCAGUACCUGGAGGGGCAAUGCGAAAGACACCGUGGGUUGUCCAGCCACCAGCCAUUUCCAACUCACCUUCACCUGCCUCUCACUACAGAGGCGGAAAAUCCAGGCUCCUCAUCCCAGCAUCCCUUACAGCUAGGGUCUAGCCAAUGAGAUACCAAGGGAAAUCAGUUUGGCUGCUUCUGGGAAGGGUUUUUCCCAAGGUAUCAGGACAGCUGUGUGAGGAGCAUUCCUAUCGCCUAUCAGCCCAUCUUCAUCCUUCUGCCUGGAAUAUUGCUGCUGUGUGAGGACAUGUUUGGAGCUGCUGAGCCCACCCUGUGACCGGGAGAACCGCAGAGACAGUGAUCCAGGCUGCAGACGCAACCAUCAACAAUGGAGGAACCUGCGGAACCUUCUCUUUUCAGAUUGGUUAAAGGAGAUAAUUAAAACGUCUUCUUGCUUUCAGGUAUUCAGUUACUUGCACCUGCAUCACUUGGAAUGAGCUCUGACUGUGAGUAACAGAAAGCCCAACAAUAACAGUGACUUACACAAGACAGAAGCUUACUUCUCUUUCACAUAAAAGAAAUCUGAAGGUAUCAACAUAAAGCAGUGUAGCCCUUGUCCCUCCCUGAGUAUGCUUCUCUGAGGCUCACAAAGGGUGAAGAUGGAUGCUCAGAGGGAAGCAGCCCAAUCUGGAGCCCAUGGAUGAAGCACCUUGACCCCAGCAGAUUCCUGAGUGUCCAGGGUCUGACCCCGUGGUUCUCUCCACUCUCCAGCAUUCAGGGCUCCCUCACUGUGUCUGUAGAUUGUGUACACCACCCUCCUCCCACCCAGCUGGCAGCUCACAUGGUGGGGCAGGAACAAGAAAAGCUUCCUUCCUGUUCUUUCAUCUCCAAAUACAAGUUAGCAUGGGGGAUCGGGGAAUUGAAGGUGGGGGGAGGCACAAACCCCCUUCAACUUCCCAGAGGAAAAAUUUUAUAAAACUGUCAGAGAUGUAAUAGAACUGUCAGAAGCACGGGGAAAUCAGCUACACAGAUUACAAAAACAUAUGUCAGGGACCUAUUGGUUUCAUGACAGUGUGAAAA
ensembl:lncRNA